UUGCACAGUGAACACCCAGGAGUGCUCCUGUGAGUACCCCUGGUCUAAAAUAUCUGUGCUACAGAAAUUCUGGUCUGUACCUCUGCAUUAUGAGAGCCCCAUCUCUCCUACAUGUAUUCAGCGGACCAGGAUAAAA